CUCAAAGGAAUUGACGGGACCCGCACAAGCGGUGGAACAUGUGGUUAAUUCGAUGAUACGCGAGGAACCUUACCUGGGCUUAAAUGUAGAGUGCAUUUUCUAGAGAUAGGAAUUCCCUUCGGGGCUUUCUACAAGGUGCUGCAUGGUUGUCGUCAGCUCGUGCCGUGAGGUGUCGGGUUAAGUCCCAUAACGAGCGCAACCCUUAUCGUUAGUUGCCAUCUGGUAAAGCAGGGGACUCUAGCGAAACUGCCACCGUAAGGUGAGAGGAAGGUGGGAUGACGUCAAAUCAGCACGGCCCUUAUGUCCAGGGCUACACACGUGUUACAAUGGUCGGUACAGAGGGCAGCUACCUGGUGACAGGAUGCUAAUCUCGAAAACCGGCCUCAGUUCGGAUCGAAGUCUGCAACUCGACUUCGUGAAGCUGGAUUCGCUAGUAAUCGCGCAUCCAGCCAUGGCGCGGUGAAUACGUUCCCGGGCCUU
rnacentral:rRNA from 1 species